rnacentral:rRNA from 1 species
GUACGGGAGGCAGCAGUGGGGAAUAUUGCACAAUGGGCGGAAGCCUGAUGCAGCGACGCCGCGUGAGGGAUGACGGCCUUCGGGUUGUAAACCUCUUUCAGCAGGGAAGAAGCCUUUAAAGUGACGGUACCUGCAGAAGAAGCACCGGCUAACUACGUGCCAGCAGCCGCGGUAAUACGUAGGGUGCGAGCGUUGUCCGGAAUUAUUGGGCGUAAAGAGCUCGUAGGCGGCUUGUCGCGUCGGAUGUGAAAGCCCGGGGCUUAACCCUGGGUCUGCAUUCGAUACGGGCAGGCUGGAGUUCGGUAGGGGAGAUCGGAAUUCCUGGUGUAGCGGUGAAAUGCGCAGAUAUCAGGAGGAACACCGGUGGCGAAGGCGGAUCUCUGGGCCGAUACUGACGCUGAGGAGCGAAAGCAUGGGGAGCGAACAGGAUUAGAUACCCUGGUAGG